rnacentral:rRNA from 1 species
AUACGGAGGAUCCGAGCGUUAUCCGGAUUUAUUGGGUUUAAAGGGUGCGCAGGCGGCCAUUUAAGUCAGCGGUUAAAUUGUGGGGCUCAACCCCAUUCUGCCGUUGAUACUGGGUGGCUUGAUUGCGGUCGAGGUUGGCGGAAUUCGUUGUGUAGCGGUGAAAUGCAUAGAUAUGACGAAGAACACCGAUUGCGUAGGCAGCUGACCAGACCGCAAAUGACGCUCAUGCACGAAAGUGCGGGGAUCGAACAGGAUUAGAUACCCUGGUAGUCCGCACAGUAAACGAUGAAUACUUGUUUUCGGCGAUAUAAUGUCGGAGGCAAAGCGAAAGCGAUAAGUAUUCCACCUGGGGAGUACGCCGGCAACGGUGAAACUCAAAGGAAUUGACGGG